UACAGAGGGGGCAAGCGUUGUUCGGAUUCAUUGGGCGUAAAGGGUGCGUAGGCGGCGCGGUAAGUCGGGUGUGAAAUCUUGGAGCUUAACUCCGAAACUGCAUUCGAUACUGCCGUGCUUGAGUACUGGAGAGGAGACUGGAAUUUACGGUGUAGCGGUGAAAUGCGUAGAUAUCGUAAGGAAGACCAGUGGCGAAGGCGGGUCUCUGGACAGUUCCUGACGCUGAGGCACGAAGGUCAGGGGAGCAAACGGG
rnacentral:rRNA from 1 species